rnacentral:ncRNA from 1 species
UACUUGGUUGAUCCUGCCAAGGAAGCACACUUAGGUCAUAGAUUAAGCCAUGCAAGUGUUAGUUCAGGUAACGAAACUGCGAAUAGCUCAUUAAUACGCUCAGAAUCUAUUUGGGCGGCGACCAACAGGUCUUAAAUGGAUAGCAGCAGCAACUCUGGUGCU